GUCCACGCCGUAAACGAUGAUCACUAGGUGGGUGCUGAGCUAUCGGUGCCCGCCGCAGGUAAUUUGCUAAGUGAUCCGCCUGGGGAGUAUGGUCGCAAGGCUGAAACUCAAAGGAAUUGACGGGGGCUCACACAAGCGGUGGAGGAUGUGGUUUAAUUCGAAGCAACGCGCAGAACCUUACCAGGUCUUGACAUACCGGGAUUAGUUCCGUGAAAGCGGGAUGAUUACUGUCAAAAGUGUAACCGGAACAGGUGCUGCAUGGCUGUCGU
rnacentral:rRNA from 1 species